GCACUUUUCCGCCGGAAGGGUAGAGGCUUUGCGAAGAGGAUCGGACCCGGAAGGUUGGCUCCCGUCCGUCGCGUAGAGUAAAUGAGCUCCCUGAAAAUACAAAGCACUUGUUUCCAUGUUCCGAUCAUUCAGAGAUUACGAAGGCACAGUGCCUGCCUUUGAUUGCUUGCGGUGAGGUGGAGCAGGCACAAGUCAAUGGUUACAGUAUAUCUACUUACGUAUUCUAAAAGAGAUUUAUCAGCAGGUUGCAGGUGAACAUGGCCUUGAGGUAAAUCCUGCCCCUUGUUGAAAUUUAGUUUCAGCAGAUUAUUCAUGGUAUUUUAAGGAAUUAGAAUAUUUCACAAAAAACAAAAGUUCUAUUUGGUUCUGUUCUAGACAUAUUUUCUUCUAAAUAAAUGAGAAAGAUGUUUCAACAAAA